GCCAGGCGUCAUGGCACACGCCUGUAAUCCCAGCUACUUGGGAGGCUGAGACAGGAGAAUCACUUGAACCCGGGAGGCGGAGUUGCAGUGAGCCGAGAUCGUGCCGUUGAACUCCAGCCUGGGUAACAGAGUGAGACUCUGUCUCAA
rnacentral:SRP_RNA from 1 species